CUCUCUCUCUCAACGUCUUUCCCACGUCUUUUCUUCUUUCUCUCUCUAUAUAUAUAUCCUCUCGAUAUCCUCUCGUCGUCCCUUUUCCUCCCUUGUCGUGGUCCCUUUCCGCGUCUCCUCGCGUAUAUAUAUUUCCGUCGCGAAACGCCGCUCUAUCCAGUUCGAUCUUAGACACGUUCCAUGUAUCUAUCGUUCGUUCGUUUUCCAACCUCCAGCCUCGGACCGGCUCUCGCUCGCUCCGUUCGACCAAACGCUAAAACGACGCUCGUGCUGCUCCUGUCCUUCGUCGUGGCCGAGAUCUGUAACGAAAACAUAACCUUUAAUCGGCCGCCACGGGAUUACCUGAAGCCGUCGACGGCGUCUCGAUCGCGCUCCGGUUCCGCGAUUUCUCGCGACGCGACGCGACAUAACCUCUCCCCGUGUCGACAAACGGAUCAACUGCGACGGUCGCGGCCGGAUCUUUAUCCGCGCUCGCGACUCCCGAAACUCCAUCGAACGGUCCAUCGUUGUUCCUCGCCUACAAAUUGCUAUUCCCACUUAGAGGGGAAUUCGUGUUACGGAACGAUUAAUUUUACCGGUGGCAUUUGGCAUCGGUCCAGUCGUGUCGGCGUACGCGCGUCGUCGGUGCCCUGCGCCUGUGUGCCCGUGUGCUCGUCUCUCUCUCUCUCUCUCUCUCUCUCUCUCUUUCUCUCUCUCUCUUUACGCGUCCCCGUGUGGACACGUCGAUGUUAACCGUCCCAGACAGUCGGCCGCGCGAGAUCAAGGAAACUAUUAUUCGACGCGACGCUCUCCUUUUUCCCCGUUGCCUCGGAUCUCGAGGAACCUCGCGAGACAAGGCCGGCUCUCGAGCCGGAUAGGAGAUCGCGUACCAAAAAGUAUUCGAUUUUUUAAUUUCGACGGAAACGAUGACAGUCGACGCGAGUGGAUCGCGUUUCUCGAGAGCCGCCGGUCUCGUUUCGGAAGGCGAAAUAUAUCACGUACGCGGCAGAAAUAUUCGCUCGGUUACUAGGAAGUGACUAAGAAACGAAUAGGAAGUGGCCGGCGCGUUGAGUAUUACCGACGGAUGGACAACGAAAACUACGCGUUACUCAGCGUCGCGUCGCAGUGGGCAAAACUGCCGAUCUAGGUAGACGAAAACGAUAGCAUCGACUACCUGAAACCGUCGUUAAACGGUUACUAAGCAUUUAUAGGGGUACUGUACGACCGGCAAGCAAUAAAAUUUUACCCAAAAUUUUCCCGUUAAGAUAAUAUACCUGCCAUUGAGAUGCAUGCGAGCGAGACCUGUACGCAUUUGGCAUUUUGUAUCAACGGAGCAGCAAAGAGAAUCUGCUUCGAUUAUAUUACUCAAAAUUUGAGUACUCGAA